rnacentral:rRNA from 1 species
AAAUUGAAGAGUUUGAUCAUGGCUCAGAUUGAACGCUGGCGGCAGGCCUAACACAUGCAAGUCGAGCGGAAACGAGUUGUCUGAACCUUCGGGGAACGAUAACGGCGUCGAGCGGCGGACGGGUGAGUAAUGCCUGGGAAAUUGCCCUGAUGUGGGGGAUAACCAUUGGAAACGAUGGCUAAUACCGCAUAAUAGCUUCGGCUCAAAGAGGGGGACCUUCGGGCCUCUCGCGUCAGGAUAUGCCCAGGUGGGAUUAGCUAGUUGGUGAGGUAAUGGCUCACCAAGGCGACGAUCCCUAGCUGGUCUGAGAGGAUGAUCAGCCACACUGGAACUGAGACACGGUCCAGACUCCUACGGGAG